GGCAUUUUCCGAGAUACUGGAGCAGAAAAAGAAAAGCUCAGCUGAAGAACUGCGACUUUUAUUGGUACGGAUUCCAGCGUUCAGGGAGAGCUGCUGCCCUCUUCAAUCAGAACUGAAAAGUAAACGAUUGCACAGCUGCUGUAAUCCUGCGAUCAGGGCGACGCCCGUCUCUGAAAGAGCCACAGGAAGACAAGUUGAACAUAAAUACCGUGCGUGGUUGGAUAAAAGGCACCCCACCCCUCAGACCUGUGUGCCUGGCUCACACAGACACAGAAUCAGCAAAUUCUGAGUCUCCGCUGGUGAGCAGAGGAUGUCCAUCACUCCAGAGGGGAACUCAGGUGGGUCAUCGUUGUGAAUGAGAAUUGGUUCUCGGUUUGCCUCGCCUGGUCAAACUGAAGGCAUGCAAACAGGAAAAAAGAGAGAGAAUGCAUUCGAGGUGAUACAGAAGCCCCUGAAACUCGAAAUCGCACUAUUGCUGCCCCAAGGACGACCAUUGGUCGACACCCCAUCAUCGAUUAAGCUGCCACAGGUGAGUCAUUUCAGUGCUUUAUAGGCAGAAUCAGGAUGAAAUGGUAAAAUGGGGUCAGCUGUUUAGAUCAGAAGACAGGUGGUUAAAAUAGUUACAAGAAACUUUAAAAACUAUUAGGAAAUUCUGUUUCAGUACACUUU